AUUUUCAGAAUAAAAUACGUUCAUGAUUAUAUAAAGUUUGGGGGAUGUUAUUUAGUAGAAAGCAGGAGAUUUCUCUCCCUCUCUCUCUCCUACUCUCUCCCUCUCUCUCUUCCUCUAUCCUCUCUCUCCGGUUUUCUUCUCUCAGUACUCGGAUAGCUAUCGGAGCAAGAGGAUACAUUCAUCCUACUCCGGAAUUCACACAUCUCAGUACCUGGAGAGAAUUAAACCUAAACUUGUCAGUCCUCCACAGCAUAGAACUAAUUCAUAGCUAUGAAAGACAAAAGUGUGUUUCGUGAAUUUUCCGCUAAAAACUAAAAAAUCAAGUUGAAAUUAGCGCGCAAAAAUGGAUGACUCGUAUGCUUAUGACAUCGAAGAGGAGUUGGUUGCGGUAAUACCGAGCCAGCAAAACUGGAAGGGGAUUGGUAUCUCACUUGUUGUCAUCCUCUCUGUUAUCGGAUUAGUUGCCCUAACUGUAUUCU